ACUACUGAUAGAAAUCAGUUUACAGAAAAACGAUGUACGCCAUCCACACAAUUUACAAAAAAGUGUCAUAUCAAAAAAUUGUACAAACAGCCAUAUCCAUUCACUCCGCAAAUGCAGCAAGUGCAAAAGCAGAAACCCAGCCCAGAACCCAGAAAUGCAGCAACAUCUGCCACUCCUGACACUCCGUGUCCAACGUAUUGAAACAAUUGUCGAUGCAUCUGGAAAUUUCGCAGCAGUAAGCGAGGAUAGUCAUUAGUACAAAUGUACAACAUUUUAGGAGCACAUCACACAGAUAUAGUAAGCUCCGCCAUACAAUAUAAUAUUUAUCAACUCUCCAGAGCUGCAGCUCCAUAAAGUCCCAAACUAAUUACUACCCUUAAAAUCUCUGAAUGUGAACCCUUUUCUGAAGUCCUUUUAAAUACAUUUUUUCGGAGCAGCUGUAGCGUUAAUAAAGUGUUGGACAAAGGACAAAAAGUUUGCUUCCUGGCUAGACAUAAUUUUAGGGCUCUUUGCAGUUGUGUGGAUGUGGAUGUGGAAGUGGAUGCAACCCACGCCGCCUGCUAAAAAGAGCGGAAGAAAGUCCACUGGCCGCUGUUGGCAACCCUGGAAAACAUUGUCCAGCACAAACCAAAUGUAAUUUGUCCAGAAAGAAACGGAAAAUGCGACAAAGGGCGAAAACUUGUUGGUCUGUUGGUGAGUUCGCCCACCAUCAACAUUCUGUUACUGGAGGUCAUUUUUGUGCAUAGUUCAUUACGAUUGAACUGCCACAAAGGUCCCUAGUUCCCCAAACAUGUGAGAGGGAAAGGUAGCUCAAAGAGAGAAGGACGGAACAGAGGCCGGAGAAAGAGACAGCACGCGACAAUGCGACUUGGCAAGGCGAAAACGCUCCAAUUUAGCACACUUUUAUUUGGACUCUCAAAGCUAUUUUAAUUGGGAUGGUUUAGGUAAUUUACACCAAAAAGAAAAGUGUGCCUUGUUUACUACAUUUUUAUUUCAUAAUUAAUGCGUAUGAUAAUUCGCUGAUUCCUCUGCGUUGUUAAAAUAAUCAUAUUGUUAUGCCGUCAUGGAAACAUAAUAUACAAACCCCAAA